AAAUUAUUUCUGGAGAAUUCAGUUGGACAGUCACCCUAAAUUUAUUUUUAUUCUGGCAAGCUGAAUUUUCUUCUCUGCUUGCCAACCGGCGGGCAGCAAUCCUCUC
rnacentral:ncRNA from 1 species